rnacentral:tRNA from 1 species
GAGGUAUUAGUAAAAAUUACAUAACUUUGUCAAGGUUAAAUUAUAGGUUGAAACCCUAUAUACCUCU